rnacentral:rRNA from 1 species
GCGGCGUGCUUAACACAUGCAAGUCGAACGAACGACUAUUAACAGAACCUUUCGGGGCGAAGAAUAUAGAAGUUAGUGGCGGACGGGUGCGUAACGCGUGGGUAAUCUGCCUUUGUCAAAGGAAUAACUAUUCGAAAGAAUAGCUAAAACCGUAUAACAUAUUAAUAGGGCAUCCUAAUAAUAUCAAAACGGUGGUGGACAAAGAUGAGCCCGCGUCUGAUUAGCUAGUUGGUGAGAUAAAAGCCCACCAAGGCAACGAUCAGUAGCCGACCUGAGAGGGUGAACGGCCACAUUGGAACUGAGACACGGUCCAAACUCCUACGGGAGGCAGCAGUGGGGAAUAUUGCACAAAUGGGGGGAAACCCCUGAUGCAGCAAACGCCGCCGUGAA